rnacentral:rRNA from 1 species
GCCUAACACAUGCAAGUCGAACGAUGAACCUCUUCGGAGGGGAUUAGUGGCGAACGGGUGAGUAACACGUGGGCAAUCUGCCCUGCACUCUGGGACAAGCCCUGGAAACGGGGUCUAAUACCGGAUAUGACGUGCGACCGCAUGGUCUGUACGUGGAAAGCUCCGGCGGUGCAGGAUGAGCCCGCGGCCUAUCAGCUUGUUGGUGGGGUGAUGGCCUACCAAGGCGACGACGGGUAGCCGGCCUGAGAGGGCGACCGGCCACACUGGGACUGAGACACGGCCCAGACUCCUACGGGAGGCAGCAGUGGGGAAUAUUGCACAAUGGGCGAAAGCCUGAUGCAGCGACGCCGCGUGAGGGAUGACGGCCUUCGGGUUGUAAACCUCUUUCAGCAGGGAAGAAGCGAAAGUGACGGUACCUGCAGAAGAAGCACCGGC